rnacentral:tRNA from 1 species
UCCGAAUUAGUAUAUCGGCUAGUAUGACCGCCUCUCACUGUCAAGUGUACGCGGUAGAGACGGGUUCGAUUCCCGUAUUCGGAA